GACGAACGCUGGCGGCGUGCUUAACACAUGCAAGUCGAACGGAAAGGCCCUGCUUGCAGGGUACUCGAGUGGCGAACGGGUGAGUAACACGUGGGUGAUCUGCCCUGCACUUCGGGAUAAGCCUGGGAAACUGGGUCUAGUACCGGAUAGGAGCCAUUUUUAGUGUGAUGGUUGGAUAGUUUUUUCGGUGUAGGAUGAGCUCGCGGCCUAUCAGCUUGUUGGUGGGGUGAUGGCCUACCAAGGCGGCGACGGGUAGCCGGCCUGAGAGGCUGGACGGCCACAUAGGGACCGAGGGGCGGCCCAGACACCGACGGGAGGCAGCAGUGGGGAAUAUUGAACAAUGGGCGCAAGCCGGAUGCAGCGAGGCCGCGUGGGGGAUGACGGCCUUCUGGUUGAAGACUCAUUGCGCAAGGGACGAAGCUUGUUGUGACGGUACCUAGAGAAGAAGCACCGGCUAACUACGUG
rnacentral:rRNA from 1 species